rnacentral:rRNA from 1 species
CGAAAGCCUGACGGAGCAAUACCGCGUGAGGGAGGAAGGUUUUUGGACUGUAAACCUCUUUUUUAAAGGAAGAAGAAAGUGACGGUACUUUAAGAAUAAGCAUCGGCUAACUCCGUGCCAGCAGCCGCGGUAAUACGGAGGAUGCAAGCGUUAUCCGGAAUCAUUGGGCGUAAAGCGUCCGCAGGUGGCUCAUCAAGUCUGCUGUUAAAGACAGAAGCUCAACUUCUGAUAGGCAGUGGAAACUGGUGAGCUGGAGUACGGUAGGGGUUGAGGGAAUUCCCAGUGUAGCGGUGAAAUGCGUAGAUAUUGGGAAGAACACCAGUGGCGAAGGCGCUCAACUGGGCCGUAACUGACACUCAGGGACGAAAGCUAGGGUAGCG